UACGAAGGUUGCUAGCGUUGUUCGGAAUCACUGGGCUUAAAGAGCACGUAGGCGGCUCCUCAAGUGCUUUGUGAAAUCCCCGGGCUCAACCCGGGAAUCGCUGAGCAUACUGUCGAGCUUGAGGCAAGUAGAGGCGCGCGGAACUCUUGGUGGAGCGGUGGAAUGCGUAGAUAUCAAGAGGAACGCCGGUGGCGAAAGCGGCGCGCUGGGCUUGUCCUGACGCUGAGGUGCGAAAGCCAGGGGAGCAAAC
rnacentral:rRNA from 1 species